rnacentral:rRNA from 1 species
UACAGAGGGUGCAAGCGUUGUUCGGAAUUAUUGGGCGUAAAGGGCGCGUAGGCGGUUCGGCAAGUCUCUAGUGAAAUCUCAGGGCUCAACUCUGAGUCUGCUGGGGAAACUGCCGGGCUUGAGUGUGGGAGAGGAGAGUGGAAUUUCCGGUGUAGCGGUGAAAUGCGUAGAUAUCGGAAGGAACAUCAGUGGCGAAAGCGACUUCCUGGACCAGUACCGACGUUCAGGCACGAAAGCGUGGGGAGCAAACAGG